GCGGUCCUUGAACUCACCGUAGUUUGUUUACAUCUAUAACUUUCUCCGACUUUCUAGGACGUGUUUUAUGCCACUUCUUUUUCUGUCCUUGUCCACCAAACUUUUAACGUUGUGCGUGAAUACACAAAGCGAGCAGAUGCAGAGUCACAUGACGCCUCGAAGGUCCUGAUGUGGUCCUGUUUCGAAGUGGAAGAGCACAAAGAGAUGUGUGUGGGUGCGUAAUCGCGCGCUGGGAUUGCCUUUUCGGACCAGACAAAGUCACCAUUCAGCACGUUUUAAACGGGCGUGUGGUGAGGCGUGCAGGAAAGGAAAGAGCACACGACCACAUGGCUGCAGUGAAAAGAACAAGAGUCGGCCUCCAUCCACAGUCCUUUUCCACCCUCUAGUGGAUAAAAAUAUAUAUUGUUUUAUUAACACACAUUCUAUGGAGAAUAGACUUAGACAAUAUAGAUCCACAAGGGAAAUUGUUCCACACAGUAGCUCAGUUACAAAGGAUGGAAAAUGUAAGGAUGGAAAGGAUAAUGCAGGU